rnacentral:misc_RNA from 1 species
UCUCCGUUGGUGAACCAGCGGAGGGAUCAUUACCGAGUUUACAACUCCCAAACCCAAUGUGAACCAUACCAAACUGUUGCCUCGGCGGGGUCACGCCCCGGGUGCGUCGCAGCCCCGGAACCAGGCGCCCGCCGGAGGGACCAACCAAACUCUUUCUGUAGUCCCCUCGCGGACGUCAUUUUUACAGCUCUGAGCAAAAAUUCAAAAUGAAUCAAAACUUUCAACAACGGAUCUCUUGGUUCUG